ensembl:misc_RNA 7SK 7SK RNA
GGAAGUGAGGGCAAUCUGGCUGCAAUAUCUGUCAGCCCAUUAAUCUCCAGGGUUGAUUUGGCUGAUCUGGCUGGCUAGGCAGGUGUCCCCUUCCCCCCUCACUGCUUCAUGUGCAUCCCUCCCAAAGCUGUGCUCUUGGUUGAAGAGGACUACCUUCCUGUAUAGUGGAGGAUCAGUCUCUAUUCAAGGGUAUACAAGUAGUUGCACCAUCCUGCUAGAACCUCAAAACAAGCUAUCACAAAUUUCACUUUGAAAAGACACUGUGUACAACCCU